AGCUGGUCUGAGAGGACGACCAGCCACAUUGGCACUGAGACACUGGCCAGACUCCUACGGGGGGCUGCAGCAACGAAUCUUCCCCAAUGCCGGAAACGGUGAGGGAGCGACGCCCGUGAAGGACGAAGCUCUUCGGAAUGUAAACUUCUGUAAGGGUCAUGAAAGCCUUAGGGCUAAUAUCCCAAAAGGUUGAUCUGACCCCUAAAAGGGGUUGCUAACUCUGUGCCAGCAGCCGCGGUAAUACAGAGGCCCCAAGCGUUACUGAGAAUCACUGGGUUUAAAGGGUGCGUAGGUGGUCCGUUAAGUUCGUUGUGAAAGCCCUGGGCUCAACCCAGGAACGGCUUCGAAUACAGGCGGACUUGAGGCUAGUAGGGGUCACUGGAACUGACGGUGGAGCGGUGAAAUGCGUAGAUAUCGUCAGGAACGCCAAUGGUGAAGACAGGUGACUGGGCUAGAUCUGACACUGAGGCACGAAAGCGUGGGGAGCGAACGGGAUUAGAUACCCCGGUAGUCCACGCCCUAAACGAUGCAGACUAGACUGCAGCGGGUUACACCCCGUUGCGGUCGGAGCGAAAUUGUUAAGUCUGCCACCUGGGAAGUACGGUCGCAAGGCUAAAACUCAAAGGAAUUGACGGGGGCUCACACAAGCGGUGGAGCAUGUGGCUCAAUUCGAAGCAACGCGAAGAACCUUAUCCUGGAUUUGACAUGGUGGAAGUACGAAGCGGAAACGUCUAGGACCGGUAUCCAAUCCGGAACCAUCACAGGUGCUGCAUGGCUGUCGUCAGCUCGUGCUGUGAAGUGUCGGGUUAAGUCCCAUAACGAGCGAAACCCUUAUCGUUAGUUGCCAGCGGGUCAUGCCGGGCACUCUAACGAGACUGCCGGUGUUAAACCGGAGGAAGGCGGGGAUGACGUCAAGUCCUCAUGGCCUUUAUAUCCAGGGCUGCACACGUGCUACAAUGCCGAUGACAAACCGAAGCAAGACCGUAAGGUGGAGCAAAUCGGAGAAAAAUCGGCCCAGUUCAGAUUGAGGGCUGCAACUCGCCCUCAUGAAGUUGGAAUCGCUAGUAAUCGCGGAUCAGCUACGCCGCGGUGAAUGUGUUCCUGAGCCUUGUACACACCGCCCGUCAAGUCAUGGAAGCUGGUAAUGCCUGAAACGCCCCCAAAGGCGCUACGGCAGGACCGGUGACUGGGACUAAGUCGUAACAAGGUA
rnacentral:rRNA from 1 species